AUUGAACGCUGGCGGCAUGCCUUACACAUGCAAGUCGAACGGCAGCGGGGGAGAAGCUUGCUUUUCCUGCCGGCGAGUGGCGAACGGGUGAGUAAUACAUCGGAACGUGCCCUGUAGUGGGGGAUAACUAGUCGAAAGAUUAGAUAAUACCGCAUACGACCUGAGGGUGAAAGUGGGGGACCGCAAGGCCUCAUGCUAUAGGAGCGGCCGAUGUCUGAUUAGCUAGUCGGUGGGGUAAAGGCCUACCAAGGCGACGAUCAGUAGCUGCUCUGAGAGGACGAUCAGCCACACUGGGACUGAGAACCGGACCAUAAUCCUACGGGAGGAAGCAGUUGGGAAUUUUUGACAAUGGGCGAAAGCCUGCUCCAGCAAUGCCGCGUGUGUGAAGAAUGCCUUCGGGUUGUAAAGCACUUUUGUCCGGAAAGAAAUGGCUCUGGUGAAUACCCGGGGUCGAUGACGGUACCGGAAGAGUAAGGACCGGCUAACUACGUGCCAGCAGCCGCAGUAA
rnacentral:rRNA from 1 species